rnacentral:lncRNA from 1 species
AAACUCACCCCACACUCCUUUGUAACUGCAUCACUUUGUGCCAACCUCACAGUAAUAGUAACACGGUCACCAAAUUCCAUCUCAUUAAUCCCAAACAUCCAAUGACUUACAAACAUCAAACAAUUUCUAUGGAGAAAUACCCUAUCAAGGUAGUGAUGGUAUAUACAUGUGUAGUUCUUUGUUAUAUUACUAAUUGUGAUCACUGGCAAAUAAAUGACCACAUCCUUUACAGAUCCGAUCCUCUAGGAUGUCAGCACACAACAGAAAUUCAAUCCUGUGAGGUUGGUAGGAGAUGAUGGAAUGGUAAAUGAUAUUGAUGGCCCCAUGCUUCUAUCUUUAAUCCAACUUGGCAUCUCUAUGCCUUCAUAAAUUGUGCUGAAUAUUCCAAAUUCAUAAUACAUCUGCCACAUACAACUACAUUCACUAAUUGCUACAUUAACAGUAUAUACAUAUUCACACAAUGAAAAAUAAUUAUCUAAAUCAAAC